rnacentral:rRNA from 1 species
UACAGAGGUCUCAAGCGUUGUUCGGAUUCAUUGGGCGUAAAGGGUGCGUAGGCGGCGCGGCAAGUCGGGUGUGAAAUUUCGAGGCUUAACUUCGAAACUGCAUUCGAUACUGCCGUGCUUGAGGACUGGAGAGGAGACUGGAAUUUACGGUGUAGCGGUGAAAUGCGUAGAUAUCGUAAGGAAGACCAGUGGCGAAGGCGGGUCUCUGGACAGUUCCUGACGCUGAGGCACGAAGGCCAGGGGAGCAAACGGG